rnacentral:tRNA from 1 species
AUUUAUGUAGUUUAAAAAAAACAUUACACUUUCACUGUAAAAAUAAAAAAUAUUUCAUAAAUU